rnacentral:rRNA from 1 species
GAUGAACGCUGGCGGCGUGCCUAAUACAUGCAAGUCGAGCGAACAGAUGAGGAGCUUGCUCCUCUGACGUUAGCGGCGGACGGGUGAGUAACACGUGGAUAACCUACCUAUAAGACUAGGAUAACUUCGGGAAACCGGAGCUAAUACCGGAUAAUAUAUUGAACCGCAUGGUUCAAUAGUGAAAGACGGUUUUGCUGUCACUUAUAGAUGGAUCCGCGCCGCAUUAGCUAGUUGGUAAGGUAACGGCUUACCAAGGCAACGAUGCGUAGCCGACCUGAGAGGGUGAUCGGCCACACUGGAACUGAGACACGGUCCAGACUCCUACGGGAGGCAGCAGUAGGGAAUCUUCCGCAAUGGGCGAAAGCCUGACGGAGCAACGCCGCGUGAGUGAUGAAGGUCUUCGGAUCGUAAAACUCUGUUAUUAGGGAAGAACAAAUGUGUAAGUAACUAUGCACGUCUUGACGGUACCUAAUCAGAAAGCCACGGCUAACUACGUG